GAGGUCCCGCCUGCCCUGUGAUCAUGUAUUUAACGGCCGCGGUAUUUUGACCGUGCAAAGGUAGCGCAAUCACUUGUCUUUUAAAUGGAGACCUGUAUGAAUGGCAUAACGAGGGCCUAGCUGUCUCCCUAUUCCGGUCAAUGAAAUUGAUCUCCCCGUGCAGAAGCGGGGAUAACAACAUAAGACGAGAAGACCCUGUGGAGCUUUAGACCCCGGGAUAGGCCAUGUCGAGAAUACCCCUCCAGAAGGUUAGAACUAAUUGGACCCUAUUUCACUGUCUUUGGUUGGGGCGACUGCGGAGUAAUGACUAACCCCCGCGCAGAAUGAAGAGACUACCUCUUUAAAAUGAAGAUAUACACCUCUAGGUAUCAGAAUCUCUGACUAAUAUGAUCCGGUACUACCGAUCAACGAACCGAGUUACCCCAGGGAUAACAGCGCAAUCCUCUCCCAGAGCCCAUAUCGACGAGGGGGUUUACGACCUCGAUGUUGGAUCAGGACAUCCUAAUGGGGCAACCGCUAUUAAGGGUUCGUUUGUUCAACGAUUAAAGUCCUAC
rnacentral:rRNA from 1 species